rnacentral:lncRNA from 1 species
GCUUUUAUGAGCUGUAACACUCACCGCGAAGGUCCGCAGCUUCACUCCUGAAGCCAGCGAGACCACGAGCCUACUGGGAGGAACGAACAACUCCCGACGCGCCGCCUUAAGAGCUGUAACACUCACCGCGAAGGUCUGCAGCUUCACUCCUGAGCCAGCGAGACCACGAACCCACCAGAAGGAAAAAACUCCGAACACAUCUGAACAUCAGAAGCAACAAACUCCGGACACGCCGCCUUUAAGAACUGUAACACUCACUGCGAGGGUCCGCGGCUUCAUUCUUGAAGUGAGUGAGACCAAGAACCCACCAGUUCUGGACACAAUUUCAAGUCCUCAGGUGCCAUCAAUAUUCUGAAAAUGGCAGUGAUUUUUAUUCAACCUGUAUAAGGCACUUUCACCAUGUACCUGGAAGCAACAUCUACAUCUUUUUCAGUUUCUUCUACGCCAGGUGUGUGCUUAGCUCCAUGACAAAAGGUGACAGCUUAUUCUGCAGCACACACACAUCAUCAAAGUGGGAGGUGGUGAGACUGGCACACUGACAGUCUGUCCUAGCAGAUUUCAGCUCACACUGCAAUCUAGAUGCUGGGGACACAAGGUCCACCUUCCAGGAAUAUGGCCAUGACACCAGAAAUCACAAACAUGAUGAGAAUGGAAUGACUGGGGAAGAAGUGCCAGAUGCUUCACUUGUAAAUGAAGACCCAGCCUCUGGGGAUGCAGAUACCACCUCCCUGAAGAAGCUGAAUAUCUGCAGAUAAGUGGAGUUCACCAAUGAUGAGGAGCGGGAUGGAGAAAGGAGGUAGGGAGAGUCAUCCAAGGAACAUGAGCAACAUGUUAAAAGCCAAGUGGUUUAAUUUCUGGAGAUGGUGAACCCAAGAGGCUCUGCUGGGAGACAACAAAAAUAAUGAAGAAUUGAACCAGAGUCCGGUGAAUAUCAGCACUGGGACCAGUUAGCAGAGGAAAAGGAAAGAAUAAAAGCGAAAAGAAUGAAGAGUCAUAUGAUUACCAACUUUUCCUUUUUCAUAUAAAUUGAGUGUAUAUGGGUCUGGAACAACCUGAAUUUCCAUCAAGUCCUGGCUAACCUCAUUAUGUCCUAUGAAUAUUUUUGACUAAUCCCACUUUACAUUAAUCUGUAUUGUGAAUGUGGAUAUUGAAUUAUAUUUCUUUGUAAUCCCAUUAUCCAAAAUCCAGUUCAGAGACUAUUAGUUACCAAUGUUCACUGUGAAGGAAAAAAAAAAAAAAAAAGCUCAGAGGAUAAACAUGUGAUAUGGUUUGGCUGUGUCCCCACCCAAAUAUCAUCUUGAAUUGUAGCUCCCAUAAUUCCCACGUGUUGUGGGAGGGACCCGGUGGGAGAUAAUUGUAUCAUGGGGGUGGUUCCCCCAUACUAUUCUCAUAGUAGUGAAUAAGUCUCACAAAAUCUGAUGGUUUUAUGAGGGAAAACCCCUUUCACCUGGUUCUCAUUCUCUUCUCUGGUCUGUCGUCAUGUAAGACAUGCCUUUCACCUUCUCCACCAUGACUGUGAGGCCUCCCCAGCCACGUGGAACUGUGAGCCCAUUAAACCUCUUUCACUUAUAAAU